UCAGCCCGGCGCACAGAAGCAUCCGGAGUCUCUGUGGACAGGUGACACAGGUAGUGUGUACUCCCGUCGGUGCAAGCCUCAUGCGACCACUUAUAGCAAAAAUCACACUGGACCCACUCUUCCCCAGGCAUCGAGGCGCUGAAGGACUCGCAGUUGACGUCCUCGUUGGAUAGGCCUAUAUAAGUUGGAGAAGUAAAGGGUCAGGCAGCAAUAGUGGCGAACUUUACUGCAUCCAGAACAGGACAAAUUAGGCCUAAGUUGGGGGUGACUCCAUCAGCGGGCCCGGUGAUGGAGGGAGGAGCAGCUGAGGUGGCACCAGGGGUGACUCCAGCAAGGGGGGCGGCAUCAGGAGCGGGCGAGAAGAGCCUCUUCUUGGGAGCCCGAGAGGAGGGAGGCUGCUUGGCGGGACGACGCUGCUUCAGAGUUCGGGGUGUCUUAAGCCCGGCCUUAGGGUAAGACCGGACGAUGUCCAGGCUGAAUUCAAGGGCAUCUUGCUCAGGCACGACAGCUUCGUCAGGCCCGGCAGCUCGUCCAGCGCUGACCUCGUCACCUGAAGCCUGGGGAGGAGGACGGUCUGUGGAAUAGGUUCCGGAGAAGUCCUUUUCCUCAAACGCGGAGGGUUUAAAAGGUCAGAUCCCUUGACUAGAGAACCCGGAGGUGAUGUUCUCCACUGUUGCAGCCUCUGGUGGGACGGGUGAUUGUCCAGCAGCCGGAGCAGCUUCGACUCCUUGGACACAGGUGUGACUGGUGAAGUGGGCCAGGUACAGGAGGAAGUCUGGCUCCUUCCUCCAGCCAGUUGGGUUGGCGGUGCCAGCACAGCCAACGGGUCCACCCCUCAUGAAGUGGUCUUCGAACCGCCUACGGGGGAAGAUAAAGAAUGGCGGAACAACGUCGCCCUGCGCAUUGCCUGCCAGGGCAACUGUGACCAGGGUCCCCCUCUCCGCUGAGGUCACCGACCCGACCUGCUUCUGCCCCAUCUGGGCGACGACACGGUCUGGCACCUGGACAGUGGUGACCCCUGUAAAUAGUUGCGUGAGCAUAGUUGUGUAUAUAUAUAGUUAUGUGUACUGUGUAUAUAGUUGUUUUUAUGUGUAUAUAGUUGUUAGCAUAGUUUCUAUUUAGAUAUUUAGUUAUGUGUAUAUCGGUUUUUUUAGAGCUGUCAAGCGAUUAAAAUAUUUAAUCGUGAUUAAUCGCAUUAAUGUCAUAGUUAACUAAUUAAUCGCGAUUAAUCGCAAAUUAUUUUUCUAUGCUAAAUAUCCCUUGAUUUUUUUGUCACAUAAUCCUUCUCAUUUUAAUUCUCUUAUCAACAUGGUGAAGUGCAUCGGCUUGCCUUGUGCAAAUGAUUUUUUAUUGAUAACAACAUUGGCAUAUACACUGAUCAAAACAGGACGAUACAAAAAAAGAGCCUAUGGUGCAAUUAAACGACUGCUUUGAACAAAUGUCAUUUGAACAUAGCAGUCAGGCUACUGCUUCUUUGUUUUGAGCCAAAGAAAUUUUUUUUUUUUUUUUUUUUUUUUCUAUAAAAUAAUUGCGUUAAUCGCGAUAAAAAAAUAAACGCCGUUAAAUUUGGUUAGCGUUAACGGCGUUAAUAACGCGUUUAACUGACAGCUCUAGUUUUUUUCAUAUUUAUAUAGUUGUGAGCAUAGUUUAUUUUUUAUAAAUGUAGUUAUGUGUAUAUAGUUGUGUUUUAUAUUAAUACAGUUCAUAUUAAAUACCGGUUUCAUUAAUGUUCCAAAUAUCCUUGGCCUGGAACUGGUGCCGGUCCAUCACCGUCUUUCAAUUCUGGUAGAAUUAGUUGACAUUGUUUUGAUUGAAGCUGGACAACCGUUGUUGGCUAGUGGCCUCUGGACGCCGAUGGGGGAGGCUGCUACUGCGCUCCAUGAAGGAGGUGAACCAGUCCUUCCUCGACCAGGAUGCAGGGAAUGGGCAGCUGAAAUGCACGGGGUUGUAAAAAGUUGUGUGUGUUUAUGUUAUUUGUUCAUAUUUAUUAAUUAAAGUAUGUGCAUAGCAUACAUGUGUGCCUGUCCAAAAAUGUAUGUAGCCCUUUUCACAACACUGACCUCAUUUGGGGUGAGCCCAAUAUGAAUGGCUUCACUGCCCUCCUCUGCCCUCCCCUUGAGGUAGCGUGACAACGUGAACAUGAUGUUGUCCCAUGCAGGAACCAGCCCACGGGAGGUGGUUCUCCUUCUGACGCGUGGCAUUUUUCCUCUCAGUAAUCUGUUGAUGCA
ensembl:lncRNA